rnacentral:tRNA from 1 species
GGGGCCUUAGCUCAGUUGGUAGAGCGCCUGCUUUGCAAGCAGGAUGUCAGGAGUUCGAGUCUCCUAGGCUCCAC